GAUGAACGCUGGCUGCGUGCCUAAUACAUGCAAGUCGAGCGAACACAUCAUGAGCUUCCUCCUCUUGCGUUAGCGCCGGACGGGUGCGUAACACGUGGAUAACCUACCUAUACGCCUGAGUUAACUUCGAGAUUCCGGAGCUAAGACUGAAUAAUAUAUUUAACCGCAUGGUUCAAUAGUGAAAGACGGUUUUGCUGUCACUGAUAGAUGGAUCCGCGUCGCAUUAGCUAGUUGGUAAGGUAACGGCUUACCAAGGCAACGAUACGUAGGCGACCUGAGAGGGGGAUCAGGCACACUGGAACGGAGACACGGUCCAGACUACUACGGGAGGCAGCAGUGGGGAAUCUUCCACAAGGGGCGAAAGCCUGAUGGAGCAAAGCCGCGUGGGUGACGAAGGUCUUCGGAUCGGAGAACUCUGUUGUUAGGAAAGAACAAAAGUGUAAGUAUCGAGGGACGUCUUGACGGUACCUAAUGAAAAAGCCACGGCUAACUACGUG
rnacentral:rRNA from 1 species